UACGUAGGGGGCAAGCGUUGUCCGGAUUUAUUGGGCGUAAAGCGCUCGCAGGUGGUUCGUCGCGUCGUGCGUGAAAGCCCCCGGCUCAACUGGGGGAGGUCGUGCGAUACGGGCGGACUGGAGGCCAGUAGGGGGAUGCGGAAUUCCGGGUGUAGUGGUGGAAUGCGUAGAGAUCCGGAGGAACACCAGCGGCGAAGGCGGCAUCCUGGACUGGUCCUGACACUCAUGAGCGAAAGCGUGGGGAGCGAUCCGG
rnacentral:rRNA from 1 species